UACGGAGGGUGCGAGCGUUAAUCGGAAUAACUGGGCGUAAAGGGCACGCAGGCGGGCUUUUAAGUGGGGUGUGAAAUCCCCGGGCUUAACCUGGGAAUAGCAUUUCAGACUGGGAGGCUAGAGUACUGUAGGGGGGGGUAGAAUUCCACGUGUAGCGGUGAAAUGCGUAGAGAUCUGGAGGAAUACCGAAGGCGAAGGCAGCCCCCUGGGAAAAGACUGACGCUCAUGUGCGAAAGCGUGGGGAGCAAACAGG
rnacentral:rRNA from 1 species